rnacentral:piRNA from 1 species
UGACUUUGGUGAUCCUAAUUUUUUCCCU